UACGUAGGGGGGCAAGCGUUGUCCGGAUUUAUUGGGCGUAAAGGGUGCGUAGGCGGUUUGGUAAGUCUGAUGUGAAAUCUAUGGGCUCAACUCAUAGUCUGCAUCGGAAACUGCCGGGCUUGAGUGUGGGAGAGGUGAGUGGAAUUCCUGGUGUAGCGGUGAAAUGCGUAGAUAUCAGGAGGAACACCUGUGGCGAAAGCGGCUCACUGGACCAUAACUGACGCUGAUGCACGAAAGCUAGGGGAGCAAACAGG
rnacentral:rRNA from 1 species